rnacentral:rRNA from 1 species
GACGAACGCUGGCGGCGUGCCUAAUACAUGCAAGUAGAACGCUGAAGGAGGAACUUGCUUCUCUGGAUGAGUUGCGAACGGGUGAGUAACGCGUAGGUAACCUGCUUGGCAGCGGGGGAUAACUAUUGGAAACGAUAGCUAAUACCGCAUAAUAGUCGAUGUCCCAUGACAUUUGCUUAAAAGUUGCAAUUUCAUCACUACCAUAUGGACCUGCGUUGUAUUAACUAGUUGGUGAGGUAACGGCUCACCAAGGCCACGAUACAUAGCCGACCUGAGAAGGUGAUCCGCCACACCUGGAAUGGGACACGGCCCAGACUUCUAAGGGAGGCAGCAGUAGGGGAUCAUCGGAAAUGGACGGAAGUCUGACCGAGCAACGCCGGGUGAGGGAAGAAGGGUUUCGGAUCGUAAAGGUCUGUUGUAAGAGAAGAAAGAGCGGGAGGGUGGAAAGUUCACACUGUGACGGUACCUUACCAGAAAGCGACGGCUAACUACGUG